rnacentral:rRNA from 1 species
UACAGAGGGGGCAAGCGUUGUUCGGAAUUACUGGGCGUAAAGGGCGCGUAGGCGGCCGCCUAAGUCAGACGUGAAAUCCCUCGGCUCAACCGGGGGACUGCGUCUGAUACUGGAUGGGCUUGAAUCCGGGGAGAGGGAUGCAGAAUUUCCAGGUGUAGCGGUGAAAAUGCGUAGAUAUCUGGAGGAAUACCGGUGGCGAAGGCGGCAUCC